rnacentral:rRNA from 1 species
AUCAGGUGGGACUACCCGCUGAACUUAAGCAUAUCAAUAAGCGGAGGAA